GAUGAACGCUGGCGGCGUGCCUAAUACAUGCAAGUCGAGCGAACAGACGAGGAGCUUGCUCCUCUGACGUUAGCGGCGGACGGGUGAGUCACACGUGGAUAACCUACCUAUAAGACUGGGAUAACUUCGGGAAACCGGAGCUAAUACCGGAUAAUAUAUUGAACCGCAUGGUUCAAUAGUGAAAGACGGUUUUGCUGUCACUUAUAGAUGGAUCCGCGCCGCAUUAGCUAGUUGUUAAGGUAACGGCUUAUCAAGGCUACGAUGCGUAGCCGACCUGAGGGGGUGAUCGGCCACCCUGGAACUGGGACACGGUCCAGACUCCUACGGGAGGCAGCAGUAGGGAAUCUUCCGCAAUGGGCGAAAGCCUGACGGAGCAACGCCGCGUGAGUGAUGAAGGUCUUCGGAUCGUAAAACUCUGUUAUUAGGGAAGAACAAAUGUGUAAGUAACUAUGCACGUCUUGACGGUACCUAAUCAGAAAGCCACGGCUAACUACGUG
rnacentral:rRNA from 1 species